rnacentral:rRNA from 1 species
AACGAACGCUGGCGGCAGGCCUCAAACAUGCAAGUCUAGGGGGUGUAGCAAUACAUCACCGGCGGACGGGUGCGUAACACGUGGGAAUAUACCUUUUGGUUCGGAACAACGCAGGGAAACUUGCGCUAAUACCGAAUGUGCCCUUACGGGGAAAGAUUUAUCGCCAAAGGAUUAGCCCGCGUAGGAUUAGCUAGUUGGUGAGGUAAUGGCUCACCAAGGCUCCGAUCCUUAGCUGUUCUGAGAGGAAGAUCAGCCACACUGGGACUGAGACACGGCCCAGACUCCUACGGGAGGCAGCAGUUGGGAAUCUUGGACAAUGGGGGGAAACCCUGAUCCAGCCAUGCCGCGUGAGUGAUGAAGGCCUC